rnacentral:rRNA from 1 species
CCUACGGGAGGCAGCAGUGGGGAAUAUUGCACAAUGGGGGAAACCCUGAUGCCGCGACGCCGCGUGAGUGAAGCAGUAUCUCGGUACGUAAAGCUCUAUCAGCAGGGAAGAAAAUGACGGUUCCUGACUAAGAAGCCCCGGCUAACUACUUGCCAGCCGCCGCGGUAAUACGUAGGGGGCAAGCGUUAUCAGGCUUUUCUGGGUGUUGAGGGAGCGACGACGGCGGCAAAAGUAUUGAGUGAUAUGACGGGGCUUAACCCCCGAACUGAUUUGGACACUGUGCGGCUGGAGUGCAGGAGGGGUAAGGGGAAGUCCGAGUGUAGCGGUGAAAGGCGUAGAUAUUAGGAGGAACACCGGGGGCGAAGGCGGCUUACUGGACUGUAACUGACGUGGAGGCUCGAAAGCGUGGGGAGCAAACAGGAUUAGAUACCCCGGUAGUC